CCAAUAGCGUAUAUUAAAGUUGUUGCAGUUAAAAAGCUCGUAGUUGAAUUUCGGGGUUAGUAGGUUGGUCAUGCCUCUGGUAUGUACUGGUCUCACUGAUUCCUCCUUCCUGAUGAGCCGUAAUGCCAUUAAUUUGGUGUUGCGGGGAAUUUGGACUGUUACUUUGAAAAAAUUAGAGGGUUUAAAGCAAGCUAACGCUUGAAUACAUUAGCAUGGAAUAAUGAAAUAGGACGUUCGAUCCUAUUUUGUUGGUUUCUAGGAUUGAAGUAAUGAUUAAUAGGGAUAGUUGGGGGCAUUAGUAUUCAAUUGUCAGAGGUGAAAUUCUUGGAUUUAUUGAAGACUAACUACUGCGAAAGCAUUUGCCAAGGAUGUUUUCAUUAAUCAAGAACGAAAGUUAGGGGAUCGAAGACGAUCAGAUACCGUCGUAGUCUUAACCAUAAACUAUGCCGACUAGGGAUCGGAUGAUGUUAAUUUUUUAAUGACUCAUUCGGCGCCUUACG
rnacentral:misc_RNA from 1 species